CUUCCCCACCCCCUCCCACCCACAAUCGGAGGGAUUUUUUUUUCAACAGUACAGCAAUAACACUCCAUGUCGCUAUCUUUCUAAAUAAUUGCGAACGAAUCGAUUCCAACUACUAACGAACGAACGACCAAGAAACAUACAACAGAGCAGGAUCAUUCAAAAAAUCAUGAUUAUGAACACCAUGAUUCGAUCCGAUCGCAAGUUGUAACACACCGUGAUCAGGGAGAUUCGGGAGUUGUAUCCUUCGAGAUUCGUAGCUUGUCGUAACCACGCGCAACAAGCCAUAUAGAAGAUACGGGAUAGCGUUGCGAGUGCACGCAACAGGAUUUUUUCUGUUCUUGCAUCUUCGAAUCUCUGGUCACUCGUCGCUCUCUGAGAUCUCUCCAUGCAACAUAAGCAGAACACACGGCGUCGUCUGCCAGCAGCAAUUUGAACGCGUCCGAACGUUGGUCGUUCGCUGCUCAAAAUCGUUAGAAGCGAUUUUUUUCCAUCGCUGUUGACUUAGCGAAGACGCACACUAUUUCACUGGGUAUGAAUGGAAACAACUCAGAGCAUCUCGAAAACAAAAGUUAGUGAUCGUUUUGAAAACAAAAGUUAGAUGAACUGCGACUGAUUGGUUUUCUCCAGCUGCGGCGCAACUUUUCGCCACUGGAAUCGGUAAAAGGUCCGUCUGAACAUCAGAUCGCUUCGGACGCUCUCGGUCUGAUGUUUUCAUCGGAAAAUUUAUCUGUUGGCCGCAAGGAAAUAAUAUCGGCUGCUCAUAGAAUAGCAUCUAGUGCUGGUUGCUGAUCAUCAACUACGGCGAAAAGUGCGACAGGUCUAUUCCCGCCGGGUGUGGCAGUUCCUAUAUGCUAAGGGGACGUCAACGAGUUGGUUUGUACUGGAUGCGGUGCAGUAUUUCAUCACUGAGAUCGGUGGAAGUCCCAGCUGAGUAGCAAACUCCUCCGGUCGUCUUCCAGUUUGUUAGGUGAAAUUCCACCGGAUGCGGCAAAGGUUUUCGCUUAUGGGAUCGAUGGAACCGGCUGAUCAGCAGACCGUCAGGACGCCCUCCAGGAUCGAGAACACAAUCGGAAAAUUCGUCGGUUGACAGGAGAAAAACAAACGGUCACUUUCGAACAUCAGAAAGUGAUGGCUGCCACUCACCAUUUUGGACAAAAAAGUGAUGGGAAAUAAACUCAUUUCACACAUUUGAUUUAAUUAAAUUUGGUCCGAAAUUCCAAUUAAUUGCUUUAAAAAAUAUAUAAUCCCUUUCGAAACCGUGUCAAAUUUUUGAAGAUUUUGAGUUGUUUUGGCUCAGACCGUUCAGAUGCUGCUUAAAAAUGCCUGAUUGAAAACAACUCAAAAUUCGCGAA